UUUUGUCUGCUGAGUGGACUGGAGCAACGUGAAAUGAAGUGUUUUUGCUCAAGGACGCAAUACAUCGCUCGGUCCUGGAAUCAAAACCACAAUAUUACGAUCAUAAGUCGAACGCCGUAACCGCUAAGCCAUGCACCUACAAAAAUUCAUAUA